UACGAAGGGGGCUAGCGUUGUUCGGAAUUACUGGGCGUAAAGCGCGCGCAGGCGGUCUUCCAAGUCAGUGGUGAAAGCCCGGAGCUCAACUCCGGAACUGCCAUUGAAACUGUUGGACCUUUGAGUACGAGAGAGGUGAGUGGAAUUCCCAGUGUAGAGGUGAAAUUCGUAGAUAUUGGGAAGAACACCGGUGGCGAAGGCGGCUCACUGGCUCGUAACUGACGCUCAGGC
rnacentral:rRNA from 1 species